UUUUCUGGUUUCUCUUCAGAGUGAAUAAAUCUGUUGCCUUUUAUUAAAGGUUUUCAUGAAAAGGAACAGAUGGAGUUAGUUAGCAAAUUUUUUGAAGUCCUGCUUGAGCAGGGCC